rnacentral:lncRNA from 1 species
AACAAAGUGGAACAAAGUGGAUCAAUUCUAGUGAUAUUUGAUCUGUCCAAAAUGAGUACCAGCACACUAUCUGAUGACUAUGGGUCAGAAUCUUUUACUAAGCUUGAUCAAAAUCAUUAAAAGAGUCUUUUCGAAGAUCUAAAAUACUCUCAAAGCGACAAACAAUGCAGAAAAAAACUUUUAGGAAGAGAAACUAGAGAGAGUAAAUGGGUGA